GAGGUUGCUGCGGCCACAACGCAGAGUACUAACCACUAUACGAUCACGGCGAGCUACAUGGGCUUCGAAGGUUCACGUUUGAAAAUUAGCCUGAAAUGUAACAAUAUUGUCGGUUAUAUGCCAGGAAGACUGAGAUACUGUCCUGACGGCUUCUCUAGCAUUUUUUGUUCUUCUAUAACAGUAGCUCAACUUUGCUGGUAUCAUUAGUAAUCACACAUGAAUAAUAGCCAAUGUAGGAGGCUUCUGAACAGCAGUGCACCAACCUUCGAAUCAGUAUCAACCACAAUCUCAGGACAAGACAAGAGCACAGAAUAAGAUUGGUGCAAAGAAGAAAAAUAUUCAAGUCAUAAAGUUUUACAGCAUGAAAAGAGACCCUUUGGCCAAGUGCAUCCACGCACAUCACCAAGGAACUAUCUACUUUUAUUUUCUAACAUCUAUGUAUGAAUCACAAGUUAGGCGUGUGACAAUCUGGAUGAAUGCAGCUCCAAAAACACUCAAGAAACUUGACACCAUCCAAAAUACUUGAUUGGUACCACAUCGACAAGCAUCCACUCUCAUUCCACCACCAAUGCUCAGUAGCAGCAAUGUGCACUAUCUACAAGGUGCACAAAAUUCAUCAAGGAUCCUGUGACAGCUUUUUCCAAACCCAUGACCACUUCCGUCUUGAAGGACAGGGUGAUGGAAACACCAUCAUUUCAAGUUCCCCUCCAAAUUACUUGAUAUGCUGACUUGUCCUCUCAGCGUCGCUGGGCCAAAAUCUUGGAAUUCCUCCCUAACAGCACUGUGAGUCUAUCUAUAGCCUGCAGCAUUUCAAAAAGACAAUUCACUACCACCUUCUCAAAGGCAAUUUGGGAUGGGCAAAAAAGUGCUGGCCCAACCAGUGACACUCAGAUACCAUGAAUGAUUUUUUUAGGAAGACUUGUAGGUUACAGUGCUUCAAGUGCUUCAAGUUUUAAAUGUUGAGAUAGUUUCCAUUUAUACCACUCUUCCAGGCAGUGAGUUCCAGAUACCCACCACCCUCUAGAUGAAAAGGCUCUUCUUUAAAAAGGACUGACUUUAAAGAAUUUCUGGCAAAAUCAAAUUUUUUGAUUCAAAAACUGCAGAACCUACCUCACGAACAAGAAAAAUAAUGAAAAAUGCGCUUCAUCAUAUUCCAAUUCCCGGAAGAAAGAAUCAGCUCGAAAAUACAGUGGAGAACCAGUUGGAUACAAAAUAUUGGAAGGGGAAGUGAAAAAACAGAGAGGCAAAGUGGGAUAAUGAAAAAAGCUAGCAGCUGACAUGAAGGAAAAUCCCAGUCUUCUAUAGGCUGAUGAGUAGCAAAAUUGUGGUAUAUGUAGAAGGACUAAUUAGGGAUGAAAUGGGAAAUUUACACAUGGAGGUGGGGGAUUUGCUGAGGUAUUAAAAAAAAUUCCAUCUGCUUUUGUCAUGAAGCAGAUGUUGCAUGGACCACAGUGGUACAAAAGAAAACAGUCACCAGAAAGAUUCAACUGCUAAUAAAGAGGUACUGAAUAAGGUGUUAGCGCUUAGAUUUGACAAAACAACAGGACAGAUGAGAAGCGUCCAAAGAUAUUGAAAGAUGUGAAAGUAGAAAUUGCAGAGACAUUGACUGUAAUAUUUCAGUCUUCCUCAGAUGCAUGGACCUUUGAGUACAGGAGUUGAGAUGUCAUGUUGAAGUUGACAGGACGUGGAUGAAGCAAGCGUGUGCAAUUCUGGUUGCCCUGCUAUAGUUAAGGAUAUUAUUAAAUUGGAGAGGGUUCAGGAAAGAUUUAUCAGGAUGUUAACGGGAAUGGAGGGUUUGAGUUAUAAAAAUAGACUGGAUAGGCUGAGACUCUUUUCACUGGAGUGUAUGAGGUUGAGGGGUGACUUUACAGAGAUUUGUAAAAUCUGUGGGGCAUUUAUAAGCUGAACAGCAAGGGUCCUUUUUCAAUGGUAGGGGAGUUCAAAACUAGGGGGCAUAUUUUAAGAUCAGAGGAAAAGUUUUAAAAAUGACAUGAGGGGCAAUUUUUAACACUGAGAGUGGUUCAUGUGCAGAAUGAACUACCAAUGGGAGUAGUGGAUACAGUUUCUGUUACAACUUUUAAAAGACAUUUAGACAGGUACAUGAAUAGGAGAGAUUUGGAGGGAGAUGGGCCAAACACAGGCAAGUAGAACUAGUUUAGUUGGGAACAUGGUCAGCAUGAACUAGGUGGAUUGCAGGGUCUGUUUCCAUGCUGUAUUACUGUAUGGAGUGGUGCCAGAAGAGAAUUGUAAAUUGACACCCUUUUUCAAAAAAGUUAUAAGAGUAAGCUCAGCGAUUACAGAUCAGUUAGUUCAUCUUUAGUAAUGGGGAAAUUUCUAUAAACAGUCAUUAACAUAGAAUUAAUAAUCACAUGAACACAUGUAGUUUAAUUAAGGAGAGCCAACAUGGUUUUCCCAAGAGAAAGUAAUGUUUACCUAACUUGUAAGAGUUCUUUGAAAAGAUAAUAAAGAGGUUUGAUGACAGUAAUUCUGUUGAUAUGGUGCACAUCGACUUCAAAAAGGCAUUCAAUACAAAUCUGUAAGAAAAUUUAGAGUUCUUGGAAUAAAGGGGACAGUAGGAACAUGGAUACAAAAAUGGCUGAGUAAUAGAAAACUAACAGUAAUAGUUAAUGGAUAUUUUUCAGGCUGGAGGAAGAUCUGAAAUUACCCAGGGGUCAGUAUUGGGACACUUGCUUUUCCAGAUUUCCAUUAAUCACCUAGAUCUUGAUGUACAGGACACAACUUCAAAGUUUGUAGACAAAACAAAAUUUGUAAGUUUUGUAAGCCAUAAGGAAAACAGUAUACAAUGUCAAAAGGAUUUUGACAAGUUGGUGGAAUGGGUCUUUAAGUGACAGAUUAAAUUCACUUCAGAUAAGUGUGGGAUAAUACAAUACGGUGGAAAUAAUAUGGAGUGACAUCAUAAGAGGUAUUACACUAAAUGAUGUGCAAGAGAAGAGUAGGUAUGCAUUGGUUAUUAAAAGUAGCAAGAGAGGUGAAGUUAAUAAAGCAUUCAGUAUCCUCAACGUUAUUAAAAGGGGCGUGGAGUACAAGAGGAGGGGGUUACAUUGAAACUUUACAAGGCACUUUUUAGGCCUCAGGUGGGGUAAUGUGUACAGUUUUGGGCAUCACAUUCAGGAAGUAUAUGAGCACAGGGGAGAGAGGGCAGAACAGUUUAUAAAUUUGACAGUUUAUAUGAAUGAUUCCCAGAAUAAGAAACUCCUGUUAUAAGGAUAAAUUGGAGAAGUUAGGACUGUUUUCCUUUAAGAGAAGGACAAGAGGAAAUUUGAUUACAUUUUCAAACCAUGAGAGUUCUGGACAGAGCAGGCAGAGAGAAACUGCUCCUGCUCGUAAAAAUAUCAUGAAUGAAAGGCCGCAAAUUUAAAGUGAUUCGCAGAAGAAUCACUUUUAAAGCAUCUUUAAGCAGAAACAUUUUUUCACACAAUAUGCAGGUGGGGUCUUGAAUGCACUGUCUGGAUGGGCUACAGAGGCAGGAUGAAUCAAGGCACUCUAGAUGAUUAUUUGACAAGAUAUAACUUGCAUUAUUAAGGGGAACA